rnacentral:rRNA from 1 species
CCUACGGGAGGCAGCAGUGAGGAAUAUUGGUCAAUGGACGAGAGUCUGAACCAGCCAAGUAGCGUGAAGGAUGACUGCCCUAUGGGUUGUAAACUUCUUUUAUAUGGGAAUAAAAUGUUCCACGUGUGGGAUUUUGUAUGUACCAUAUGAAUAAGGAUCGGCUAACUCCGUGCCAGCAGCCGCGGUAAUACGGAGGAUCCGAGCGUUAUCCGGAUUUAUUGGGUUUAAAGGGAGCGUAGGUGGAUUGUUAAGUCAGUUGUGAAAGUUUGCGGCUCAACCGUAAAAUUGCAGUUGAAACUGGCAGUCUGGAGUACAGUAGAGGUGAGCGGAAUUCGUGGUGUCGCGGUGAAAUGCUUAGAUAGCACGAAGAACUCCGAUUGCGAAGGCAGCUCACUGGACUGCAACUGACACUGAGGCUCGAAAGUGUGGGUAUCAAACAGGAUUAGAUACCCGAGUAGUC